AUCACUUCUAGGCCUUUUGGCUAAGAUCAUGUGUAGUAUCUGUUCUUAUCAGUUUAAUAUCUGAUACAUCCUCUAUCGAGGAGAAUAUAUUAAAUGGAUUUUUGGAAUUGGGAGUCGGAACUGGAGCAUGUGCCAUCCACUCUGCGCAUCGACCUGGUAUUGCAGUACCUCCAGGAAUAGUGUACCAAAG